GAUGAACGCUGGCGGCGUGCUUAACACAUGCAAGUCGAACGAAGCAUUUACGACAGAUUUCUUCGGAUUGAAGUUGUUUAUGACUGAGUGGCGGACGGGUGAGUAACGCGUGGGUAACCUGCCUCAUACAGGGGGAUAGCAGCUGGAAACGGCUGGUAAUACCGCAUAAGCGCACAGCAUCACAUGAUGCAGUGUGAAAAAACUCCGGUGGUAUGAGAUGGACCCGCGUCUGAUUAGCUGGUUGGUGAGGUAACGGCCACCAAGGCGACGAUCAGUAGCCGACCUGAGAGGGUNACCGGCCACAUUGGGACUGAGACACGGCCCAGACUCCUAC
rnacentral:rRNA from 1 species